GACGAACGCUGGCGGCGUGCCUAACACAUGCAAGUCGAGCGAAGCGGCGGAUGGGUGAGUAACGCGUGGGUAACCUGCACUUAAGUCUGGGAUACCAUUUGGAAACCGACGCUCAUACCGGAUAUUAAAGGUUGGAUCUGCGAUGCAUUAGCUAGUUGGUAAGGUAACGGCUUACCAAGGCGAUGAUGCAUAGCCGGGUUGCGGGACUGAUCGGCCACAGUGAGACUGAGACACGGCCCAAACUCCUACGGGAGGCAGCAGUAGGGAAUCGUCCACAAUGGACGAAAGGCUGAUGGAGCAACGCGGCGUGAGUGAAGAAGGUUUUCGGAUCGUAAAGCUCUGUUGUUGGUGAAGCGGUAAUCAACCAGAAAGUCACGGCUAACUACGUGCCAGCAGCCGCGGUAAUAC
rnacentral:rRNA from 1 species